rnacentral:lncRNA from 1 species
GGAAUGAAGCCAUAAAAGCCCCACCACAAUAAGAAUGAACCAACCAACCUGGGAGCAGCAGAAAUGGACUUUAACAGGCUGAUGCAGUGAAGAGAAGUAGUGUGAUAGAAUUUCGAGCUCCUCCUCGCUUCUAGGAGCCAUGUUAUCCUUAAACAGAGUUCAUUGGUCAGUGCAAGUCAAGAAAUCUGCAACUGGGAUGUCCAAUCUCGAAGUAUGAAAGAAGAGGGAUGGGAAGAGAUCCUUGAGGGAUAUGUUGGUAUACCAUUUAUCGAACCAAAAUGCAGUCUGUCAGCCAUUGCCCAGC